CCCCCCUUCCCAACUUCAGCUCUGACGUCUGGUCCAAAGAAUGAAGCAAAUUUUUCCUGUCUUUUAUCAAAAUCCGACAACUGUAAUGCUUUUGCCUCAAACACCAAGACUAGGCAGUAUUUACCAUCUUCUGUUACCUCUUCACGAAUCAUCUGUAGAAUAGGGGCACUCCUCCUUGGAAUUCCUCCACCCUGACCAUACUGAAAAAUUCGUUUCAGUGCCUCGUCCAAAUGCUGCUCAUCUCCAUAUCGAUAUCUUAUAACAUCACUCCUAACCUGUUUAAGGAUUGGAGUAGCACUUGUUUCCCUUAACAUUUGAGCAUCAGAAUAAGUCAGGCAUGGUACUGGCUUCAGUUCUGCAUACUUGAGAGCCAUACCAAUAAUUGCAAGAGGAAAGCCAUACGUUAGCAUUAAUGCUGACCAUUCAGAUCCUGGAAGGACAUUAAAGUACGCCCCAAAACCAUACGAUAAGAG
rnacentral:misc_RNA from 1 species